rnacentral:piRNA from 1 species
UCAUCUCCUCUGAGUUUUCUGGAGUGUCAA